rnacentral:rRNA from 1 species
CACCGCGGUUAUACGAGAGGCCCAAGUUGACAAUCGCGGCGUAAAGAGUGGUUAAGAAGUAAAUUGAACUAAGGCCGAACGCUUUCAAGGCUGUUAUACGCAUCCGAAAGUAUGAAGCUCCGUCACGAAAGUAGCCUUAAUUGUCUGAACCCACGAAAGCCAGGGCA